rnacentral:rRNA from 1 species
UACGGAGAGUGCAAGCGUUGUUCGGAAUUAUUGGGCGUAAAGCGCGUGUAGGCGGUCCAACAAGUCUGGCGUGAAAAGCCUUGAGCUCAACUCAAGAAGUGCGCUGGAAAACUGUCGGACUUGAGUACUGGAGGGGGGAGGUGGAAUUCUCGAGUGUAGAGGUGAAAAUUUGUAGAUAUUCGGAAAGAACAUCAGUGGCGAAAGGCGACCUCCUGGACAGAUACUGACGCUGAGACGCGAAAAGCGUGGGGUAGCAAAACAGGGA